GUACUACUCCCUCCGUUCCGAAUUACUCGUCACAGAAAUGGAUGUAUCUAAAUGUAUUUUAGUUCUAGAUACAUCCAUUUCUGCGACAAAUAAUUUGGAACGGAGGGAGUACUAU
rnacentral:pre_miRNA from 1 species